GAUGAACGCUGGCGGCGUGCCUAAUACAUGCAAGUCGAGCGAACAGAUAAGGAGCUUGCUCCUUUGACGUUAGCGGCGGACGGGUGAGUAACACGUGGGUCACCUACCUAUAAGACUGGGAUAACUUCGGGAAACCGGAGCUAAUACCGGAUAACAUUUGGAACCGCAUGGUUCUAAAGUGAAAGAUGGUUUUGCUAUCACUUCUAGAUGGACCCGCGCCGUAUUAGCUAGUUGGUACGGUAACGGCUUACCAAGGCGACGAUUCGUAGCCGACCUGCGAGGCGGAUCGGCCACACUGGAACGGAGACACGGUCCAGACGCCUACGGGAGGCAGCAGUAGGGUACCGGCCGCAAUGGGCGGAAGCCUGACGGAGCAACGCCGCGUGAGUGAUGAAGGGUUUCGGCGCGUAAAACUCUGUUAUGAGGGAAGAACAAAUGUGGAAGUAACUGUGCACGUCUUGACGGUACCUAAUCAGAAAGCCACGGCUAACUACGUG
rnacentral:rRNA from 1 species